GACGAACGCUGGCGGCGUGCUUAACACAUGCAAGUCGAACGGGAUCCCAAGGCUUUUUGUUUUUGGUGAGAGUGGCGAACGGGUGAGUAACACGUGAGUAACCUGCCCCCUUCUUUUGGAUAACCGCAUGAAAGUGUGGCUAAUACAGGAUAUUCCAGGCUGGUCGCAUGAUUGGUUUGGGAAAUGGUUUGGUCUGGUGGGGGAUGGGCUCGCGGCCUAUCAGCUUGUUGGUGGGGUGAUGGCCUACCAAGGCGGUGACGGGUAGCCGGCCUGAGAGGGUGGGCGGUCACACUGGGACUGAGAUACGGCCCAGACUCCUACGGGAGGCAGCAGUGGGGGAUUUUGCACAAUGGGCGCAAGCCUGAUGCAGCGACGCCGCGUGAGGGAUGAAGGCCUUCGGGUUGUAAACCUCUUUCGCUGGGUUGAAAGGCCAUGCUUUGGGUGUGGUUGAUUUGAACUGGUAAAGAAGAACCGGCUAACUACGUG
rnacentral:rRNA from 1 species